GGUGUGAGGGCGUCGUGGGAGGAAGUCGUCUACGCAGGCGCUCUGGGGCGUGAGGAUUUCUGGGUAAAAAUGGAUGUCCAAGAUUUGUUUCGCCGGCUUGGCGCUGGGGCCAAAUUUGACGUGAAACGCUUCUCAGCCGACGCAGCUCGAUUUCAGAUAGGAAAAAGGAAAUAUGGCUCUGAUUCUUCAGAGAUGCUGCAGAGUCUGGACUUCUUUGGAAACAAAAAGUCCGUCCCAGGUGAGUGUGGUGCGACACAAACACACCAGGAGCUCCAAAAUGAAGAGAAAAAAGAAGAGAGCCUAACUGAAAGAAAGAGGGGGCCAAACAAGAAAAAGAGAAAGAAAAUGAUUUCAGAAAUUACUUCUCAAGAAGAAGGUAUGACUAUACAGUGGAUGUCAUCUGUGGAAGCAAAGAUUGAAGAUAAAAAAGUUAAAGGAGAAAAUAAACUAACUUCAGGGAAGUUGGAACAUCUCCGAAAGGAAAAGAUAAACUUCUUCCGGAAUAAACACAAAAUUCACAUCCAAGGAACCGAUCUUCCUGAUCCAAUUGCUACAUUUCAGCAACUUGACCAGGAAUAUAAAAUUAAUUCUCGACUGCUUCAAAACAUUCUAGAUGCAGGCUUCCAAAUGCCGACACCAAUCCAAAUGCAAGCCAUUCCAGUUAUGCUGCAUGGUCGGGAACUUCUGGCUUCUGCUCCUACAGGAUCUGGGAAGACUUUGGCUUUUAGUAUUCCCAUUUUAAUGCAGCUGAAACAGCCCACAAAUAAAGGCUUCAGAGCGCUGAUUAUAUCCCCAACACGAGAACUUGCCAGCCAGAUUCACCGAGAGUUAAUUAAAAUCUCUGAGGGAACAGGAUUUAGAAUACACAUGAUCCACAAAGCAGCAGAGGCAGCCAAGAAAUUUGGACCUAAAUCAUCUAAGAAAUUUGAUAUUCUUGUGACUACUCCAAAUCGACUAAUUUAUUUAUUAAAGCAAGAUCCACCAGGAAUAGACUUAACAAGUGUCGAGUGGCUGAUAGUAGACGAAUCAGACAAACUCUUUGAAGAUGGCAAAACUGGAUUUAGAGACCAGCUAGCUUCCAUUUUCCUGGCCUGCACAUCCUACCAGGUCAGAAGAGCUAUGUUCAGUGCAACUUUUGCAUAUGAUGUUGAACAGUGGUGCAAACUCAACCUGGACAAUGUCAUCACUGUAUCCAUUGGUGCAAGGAAUUCUGCAGUAGAAACUGUAGAACAAGAGCUUCUCUUUGUUGGGUCUGAGACUGGAAAACUUCUGGCCAUGAGAGAACUUGUUAAAAAGGGUUUCAAUCCACCUCUUCUUGUUUUUGUCCAGUCCAUUGAAAGAGCUAAAGAACUUUUUCAUGAGCUCAUAUAUGAAGGUAUUAAUGUGGAUGUCAUUCAUGCAGAAAGAACACAAGAACAGAGAGAUAACACAGUCAACAGCUUCAGAGCAGGAAAAAUCUGGGUUCUUAUUUGCACUGCUUUGCUUGCAAGAGGGAUUGAUUUUAAAGGUGUGAACUUGGUGAUCAAUUACGAUUUUCCAACCAGCUCGGUGGAAUAUAUCCAUAGAAUAGGUCGAACUGGAAGAGCAGGACAUAAGGGAAGAGCUGUUACAUUUUUCACUGAAGAUGAUAAACCAUUAUUGAGAAGUGUCGCCAAUGUUAUACAGCAGGCCGGUUGUCCUGUACCAGAAUACAUAAAAGGUUUUAAGAAACUACUAAGCAAACAAAAGAAAAAGAUGGUUAAAAAACCAUUGGAAAGGGAAAGUAUUAGCACAGCUCCAAAAUAUUUCCUAGAGCAAGAUAAAGGUAAAUGUCUGCAUCAGGACAUGCUACUGAAGCCACCAAGACUCAAGACCAUUGGCUCACAUUGAUCAAGUCUUCCCUGAGCGUCAUAUUCUGGGCCAGAUUUCAUUAUAAUCUUAGGUUUAUGCUGAAGCACACUGUACCAUCUUAACAAGUAGUACUUGGGAAAAAGGUCACUGGCCAGAAGAACAAGAACAAGAAGAAGGUAGCUCUUGAAAUCAAAAGUUAACAACAGACUUUUUAAAAAGACUCACAGAAAUUAAUUUUAUGGUUCCAGCGUGAAUGUUUUCAUAGAACACUUCAAGGCUUGUAAUCACUGCUGCCAAACAUUUGGAAUCAACUACAAGUACAUAAAACUGAAAAAUGAUCUUAAACUAUCAAUGCAUCAUGUCAGAUUUUAAUUUGUAGGUGAAAACUGUACAAUGGAUAAAACACUUACUGCUAUUUCUGUA